rnacentral:lncRNA from 1 species
AAUAAUAAAAAAAUUCGAUUGAACUCAGAAUCGCAAUUUAGGGUUUAAGAGGAAAAAAAAAACCAGGCCAAAGACAAGUUGAAAAACUAGUGGUAGGGUUUUCAGUUACCUUGUUUGAAAGAGCCAUGUAUAAAACCGGUGUGUAUGUUGGUUACAGGGCAUAGUGCUUCGAAACUGCUACUGAAGCUUGUUGCAGCAAGGACAAUCGGAACGAACCCUAAUCCUCUCUUCAAAUCGUGCUCUUUCUUCUGUACCAGAACGGAGGAGGAGAAGGAGAAGACCCUGAAUUUGUUUUUGCAUGAUAUAGGCACAAAAAUGUCUAUGGAUCUCAAUGAUUUUAAGAUCAUUAAGGAAGGUGAAGCUGAGAUUCUUAUGCAUGCUGAGAAUGAAGUAUUCUAUAACAAAGCUCAGGUACAAAAAAAAUCAAUUUUUUACUAUGUUUUUUCCGUUUUGAAAUCAGGGUUGCGAAGAAAAAUCAAUUUUUUUUCAAUCUGAGUUUUGGUUCAUGGUAGAAAAAGUUAGCUGGCCAAGAAAAAUUAAAUUUUGAAUAGUGGGGUGGUCAGAACUUUUGUAAAUUGUCUUUGAUAGGGUUUAUUGUUGAUUGUUUAUGCUUGUCUGUUGAAUUAUGCAGGCCUUGUAUUUAUCAGGUUGAUAUCAGUAUGUUUCCGGUUAAUGUAGUUUCGGGGUUUAUUUUCUUGGCUGUGUAAGAUAGACUGAUCCCAUUUUCCUUUUAUUAGGUUAAUAACAGGGAUAUGUCAAUUGCUGUUUUGAGAACUUUUAUAUCGAAACGGAAGCAAGAGCAUGAAGCAAAUUUGUCCAAGAGAUCGAAAAAGACACAAAAACCAUCUGAAAAUGGUUCUUCUGAAUUAGUUACGGAGGAAGUAUUUCACGAAGCUGCACCAGAAGAUCAUAAGUCUAAUGGGGAAUGUGAAAUCAAGGAAGAGAUAUCUCCAGAAGAACCAUGCAGUGAAACGGAUGGAUCAGUUAAGAUAACUGAAGAAUGUAGAAGUGGAGAAGAACAAAUUGAUCUUUUGGAAGGAAAAGGACGGAAGGAGCUGAAGCCACCAAUAGUUCUUGAGGUUUUCCAUGCUUUUUAGCUUUCAUUAGCAUAACUCUUUAAUGUCAUGAAGGCAUCACUAUCACCAUUGUCCUUCCAUAUCGGAUAUAAAUAUUUUUCUUUGCAAUUCAAAUCCAGUUCCGGUAUCACAUGUAUGAUUGCUCUUUUACUUUCCUGCAUACAGGCCUUGUCUGCUUCUGGGUUAAGGGCUCUCAGAUAUGCUCGGGAAAUAGAAGGGAUUGGUCAGGUUGUUGCCCUGGACAAUGAUGCAGGUGCUUCAAGGAUUUUUCAGUUUAUAUUGUCUUCAAAUUUUGUUCUGUGGUUUUAAAACAUAAAAAACUCUGCACCUUUGUGGUUUGUCUACUCUUAGGAUACUUAUAGUUGCUACCUUUUGUUUGAGAUUAGUGCUUAUUCUUUGUUUAUAAGCAUAUGAGUCUGCAUACAUAGUACUGAUUUUUGCUUCUGGCAGCUUCUGUCGAAGCUUGCAGAAGGAACAUCAAAUUCAAUGGUUCAGUUGCAGUCUCAAAAGUGGAGUCUCAUCUUGCUGAUGCUCGUGUAUACAUGCUAACCCACCCUAAUGAGUUUGAUGUGGUAAGUAGAUGCCACUGUUAUGCACUUGUAUUCACCUCUUAGUCUAAGCAACAUACAUUUUUCAUUGUCUUCACAUGUUUUGUUUUUCAGGUUGAUCUUGAUCCUUAUGGUUCUCCUUCUGUUCCCCUCCUUGAGAACAUGAUAAACAUCCACUCGCCAAGCACGACCUAGCAAGUCCUUAAUAUCCCAAAUGAUGGAAGCAUAUAAAUGCCUCGGAGAAGGAACAUAAUGCACCAAGGUAUUGCAUCUAAGGAAUCCGAUUGACACUCCACAAUGCGAGCACCACAUUCCCAAGCCAAACACAAACCAUGAUAAAUUCCAAGCAGCUCAAGAAGCAGAAUGUUUGGGUCAUUUCGGUAGCCAUAAAAACCACUGAGCCAUUGGCCAAGCUGCUACGAAAACAUCCUCCAAAACAACCUCUAUGAGGAUUACCUCUCACGCUGCUAUCCACGUUAAUCACUAAGUUGUCCGAUCCACGAGUAGCCCAACAAACCAGUCUAGGAGGAGUUUGAGAAACACUAGAAGACUCCCCAAAACAGCGCCAUAACUCAGAAGCCAUUGGACUCCAUAACAUGAGAACUGAGCAUGCGAUUCUCCGUGCAGAAAAUGCAUCUCAUUCGCCAAAUCUACCAUAACGUUGCUACCGUAAUUUUUCCAAACUUAAUUCCAGAAGCCAUUGGACUCCAUAACAUGAGAACUGAGCAUGCGAUUCUCCGUGCAGAAAAUGCAUCUCAUUCGCCAAAUCUACCAUAACGUUGCUACCGUAAUUUUUCCAAAAUUAAUUCCGCAUUUUGUAUGUACAGAAUGCCAGCUAGAAUGUAAACAACGACAAUGAUAUUUUCAAUUUAGAGAUGACGUGAAAAAUGCAUACGUGCGACAUUAAAACCAAUUCUCUACAAAUUUAUGGUGACUUCAUGCAUUUUCCUCAAUUUAAUAUUUCAGGUAAUUAAGAAAUAAUAAAAAAAUUCGAUUGAACUCAGAAUCGCAAUUUAGGGUUUAAGAGGAAAAAAAAACCAGGCCAAAGACAAGUUGAAAAACUAGUGGUAGGGUUUUCAGUUACCUUGUUUGAAAGAGCCAUGUAUAAAACCGGUGUGUAUGUUGGUUACAGGGCAUAGUGCUUCGAAACUGCUACUGAAGCUUGUUGCAGCAAGGACAAUCGGAACGAACCCUAAUCCUCUCUUCAAAUCGUGCUCUUUCUUCUGUACCAGAACGGAGGAGGAGAAGGAGAAGACCCUGAAUUUGUUUUUGCAUGAUAUAGGCACAAAAAUGUCUAUGGAUCUCAAUGAUUUUAAGAUCAUUAAGGAAGGUGAAGCUGAGAUUCUUAUGCAUGCUGAGAAUGAAGUAUUCUAUAACAAAGCUCAG